GACAGUUUAAGUUAAGAGAACGCAAACAGAAGACUGGCCACUGACAACAUUUUGAUCACUUAUUGUAUUUACAUGAUAAAGGUAAUCAGAAUCAGAAUUACUUUUGUUACAUACUCCAUAUGAAAUAGACAUACAUAUAUUAAUAAUAUAUAUAUAGUUUAAUUUAAAGUCCCACUUUCUAAUGUGCAAAAAUGGCAAGUGUAAAGUGGUCGCAGGCUUCC